AUAGAACUUCAUUCUUACAAGUGCUUUAACCGAAUUUCUCUUUGUGUGUUUGAAGGUGGCUUGGAAGCAUCAUUGAAGACUGAACUAUAUAAAACUGCCAAUAUUUAUCAAGCAGACAGAAGGUGUCUUGUGAACAUGCUGGCUGCAGUGGCGGGGAGAGGCGCCAUGACCAGCGAGGCCCUUUUAUCUCUACUAGAACUCUGACAGGCCACUUUAUAUGGGACAUGGUUCCAGGAAUGACA
rnacentral:lncRNA from 1 species